rnacentral:lncRNA from 1 species
UUCUCCAAUUUAGCAUCUUUUCUUCAGUAAAAUCAUUUUUCAGUUUGGCAAAUUGAUUUCUCUUCGUUUACCAAUUUCGAAUUGAAAACCUCUACCCAUCAAUCAAGUCUCUAUUCCAAUAGAACCCUGGAUUUCUGAGGACUUCACAAUAGCUAGCUGUUGAAUUCUAAAGGAAGACGAAGAUGGCUACAAUAAAUAUAGGUUUAGAUCUUUGCUCUGGUGGCUAUCUAGGGUUUCAGUGGCGGCCGAUGACUAGGUAUGUGAUGGCUUAGCUCAAUAGGUCGGCUUGGAAUGGGGAAUCUUACAGUAAGUUUCAAAGUGGGUUGGAGAAACCAGUCUGGAGGUUAAACGAGGAUCAUAUCGCAGAUGAUUAAAGGAUAAGCUUAUUACCUACAUUGUCUGCAAUUCCUCUACGUCGUUCAUCGCUCAUGACGUACAUUGUCUGCAGUUCCUUUACGCCGUUCUUCGUUAUGUAGUGGAUUGGGAUUCCUUUUUUUGCAACUGGAUUGAUUGCUACUCUGAUUGACAACACUUCUAAGAUACCAUUUCUUCUUAAUCUGAAUUUCAAAGAAUGGUUGGAACUGAGGAUUCUUGCCGAGGCUACACGUCCUCUACUUUAGUGGCGACGUGGACAGCAUCAGCAGUCGAUAUAAAACAAGCUACAUUUUACAACAGCGAUCGUUAUGUAAACGUCCAGGAUGAGCGUUUAAACCGUUUGAUGAAAUAGGCUGAUCCAUUCAAAGUGUCAAUCGAUCAUGGAACUAUUUUCAUGAUUGUUACCCAAGAUCUCGGAUUCUGCAGAUUUGUUGGUGUUAAACAGCUUGAAUAUUGCAUACAACUAAUGCAAGCGUUUGCUACCAUGUUCACGUACCAAGGUUUAAAUUUGUUGCUGAUUAGUGAUUCAAAAGUUGAUUACAGGUAUGAUUUUCAUCGGAUUGGGACACCGGUUAAUGAUCUGAUGAUGUGGAAUGAUGCAGCAAAAUCAACACUUUGGUUCGGGUUAGGGUCAUUUUGUUUCCUACCAUUAUGUUUUACAACUGAAUAGCUUCAGCCGACCUGUUCAGAUUAUGAAGAGGGAGAACAAAGGAGGUGGUGUUGGUUGUAGCCAAGAUAAUGAUGGUGGUGCACGGGGUGGACGAUGGUGGUGGUUUAUGAUUGAUCCGGUUGCAGCAGGUUACGAAGCUGGUGUCUUAGGGUCUCGAUGAUGUCGGUUGUGGUAAUCAUGUUACUUAAUAUUAAGCGGUCAAGAUGUUGAAAGAGGUUCUUUCAGUCACAUGAAUUCUGUUGUGCAUGAUCAAGAAACAGGGGAGCGUUACUGUCCGUUGGAUCAUGUAAUGAUGAAUCAACACAAACAAACCGUAAGCAACAGGUCAAUGCAUUUUUGUAUAAACAUCUAUACAUGAUUUCUUAUAUUUUUUUCUUUACAUCUUUAUUGAUGCUUAUAUGAUAAUAUAAAGUUCUUUUUCGAAGUUUGGUCUGUUGUGCUUUGACUUGGGCUAUUCAAUGGAAAAACGUAAUUAACUGGUAUUGUGGCAAGCUCAGUUUGGUAACUUUUUUUCCAAUGGGCCCAAGUUAUAUUUGAUCAAUUCUUGAGUAGUGACGAGGCUAAGUGGCUGCUAGACUGGGUUAGUUGUGUUGCCAUUCAUGGUUAAGAUGGUCAAGGGCUCGAACACUCCAGUGCAAGACUUGAGCGUUUUCUUCAGCUGCAUUUGGAGUUCCAUAAGCCGCUUAUCAUUAUGUCUUCUAAAAAUUUGCUUCGUCACAAAGA